GGCGAUAUGGCUGAGUGGUGAGGCGGGGACUGCAACUCCUUUUCCCCGUUCAAAUCCGGGUGUCGGCU
rnacentral:tRNA from 1 species